rnacentral:rRNA from 1 species
CUAGGAUUAGAUACCCUAUUAUUUUAUAUGUUAAUAAUUUAAUUAGGUAGUAAUAGUUAUGUUCUUUAAACCUAAAGAAUUUGGCGGUGUUUUAGUCUAUUCAGAGGAAUUUGCCCCUUAAUCGAUAAUCCUCGAUUGAUUCUUUCUUUGGUUUGAUUAAUCAGUAUGUAUAUCGCCGUUAUAAGUUUAUUUUAUUAGAAUUAAUUUACUUAAUUUUUUAUUAAAAUUUAUUUCAGGUCAAGGUGCAGCCUAAUACUUAAGUGGAGGUGAAUUACAAUAUUAUUUUAAUAUAUGGAUUUAUUUUUGAAAUAUUUUAAUGAAGGUGGAUUUGUUAGUAAUUUUGUUUAUAGUGAUUUUUUGAUUUUAGCUCUAAAAUAAGUACACAUCG